rnacentral:lncRNA from 7 species
GAUGAGACAAAAAUGAAAUAUGAAUAUAUUCUUUUUAGCUGAGAGCAGCAUUAAGAAAAGUGAGGGUUGAAGAAAAUGGGAUGUUUAACUCUUGAUCUGGCUCUCAAUUAAAAGGGUUGUGGUGUCACAGAAGACCAGUUUAUCCCAGUUUGCUAAGGACCUGAGGACAUAAGAGACAUAUGCUUGUCAAAAGAGGCUUUCUGCAUGAGUUUCAGUGGUGAAAUUCUCCUAUGGUGGUGGGAAAUGCAUGUCAUUUCUUCAGAAUCUCCAAUGUACAGGAAGCCACCUUCACGUUAACACAUACUGAAGAUGAGCUUGAUCUACCUCACCACAGUGAAGAUGAGCUCGGUUUACCUCAAUCAGGAGGAUUCAGAUAAUCCUUCUGCUGACUUUGCUGCAGGAUAAUAUUUUCUAGGGCAGAAGUGCAUCAGGCAACCGAGAGGAACCAACAUCUAAAUCCACUAGAAAGUGAUUUUCUGAAGGCAGUAUAUUGUAGUCUUAAUUUCAGAGUUAUUCCUUGUUGGACUGUUAGAUUAAAAGACAACACUGGGAAAAUAUCAUAAUAUCCCAUAAAUUUACAUCUAAUAUGCAUGUUAAUUAGCAUUGCUAUUAUUUCAAUGUAGCUCCAUGGUUUUGUAAAUUUAUCAUAAUAGUACAUCAAUUCAUUAUAAUAUAUUUUAAUGUCUAAAACAGAGUUCUCCAAGGUUGGGAGGGUUGUUUACUGCUUCCUCGGUGUCAAAACCUUGUCCGGUACACCUCACAGUAGGGUUAAGUGUUAACUCUUCCAGUGACAGCAAAUUGCCUCAUGGCAUGGCUGUAUCUGUGAUGCUUAUUGGUAACUUGAAGUUCCUGGAUAACAGAUGUUGUUUCCUGUUCAUCAUGUCCUAUGGGAAAUUACAUUUCAUAAGUUCGUUCUCUCCAUGGCUUUGUUUUGGAUUGGAAACAAAAUAAUUGGAAGGUUGGAUAAAAUUGUGUUGUAAGAAAGUUAAGUUUUUGUCUGUUCAAUACAUUUAUCUUGCUUCACAGUGUGUGGUUUGUCUUGGGGAAAUAACUUGAUCCUAACAAGGUAUGUAGCCUUAGGCAUGGAAAUCUUCCUACAACCCAGCAAUGAGUGUUGGAUCAGGCUUCUGUUAAAGAUUUCCAUGAAUUUCUUAAUGAACAGCUCAGCAAUUUGAUCUGUCAAGCUGAUGGCUAAUAUACAGAGAUGAUAAGAUAUGACCGAACACUUCACAACUGAACUGAGAUUUUAGUCUGAAAUCAAAUGGUUUGGGAUGUUUGGGUUUCUAAAGUACUGCACUUCUUGCCUUACUGUACCUUGGUAGUAAUGUCUGGUGGCUCCUCUAUUUUCCAGAUGCCUGAAUAUUUUGAAUAAGAUGGAAUGAAAUGGCUCCUUCCCACCAUUCUUCUGUUUAUCUUAUAGAGGAGCUUUCCACUUUCUGUGCUUCUUUUCUUUGUUCAUUCUGCUUUUUCCCAUGUGUUAUCCACGCUAACCAGGCCUCUAAUGUCCUUGGACAUACUUGACCAGGUAGACUCCUGUUGUGGAUUCCUGAGAGAACUUUGCUUUCAAACUGUGAUUGUUUACAUCUGUGCUGAUAUUAUGUUCUUUAUUCAAACUUCCAGCAUUUCCAAGAGCUGACUUAGCCUUCGUCUCUAUGAUUUUCAACUCUAACAGAGUAGUACAUUGACAGCUGGAUGUGUUUUCUGGUAGAUAAUUGUCAAAUCUUUUUCUUGCCUUAGAAAUGACAAAAAAGCCAGUUUGGCUUAGAAUUUCCAUAUAUUUUCAUGUUUUCUUUAGCUUCUUCCAGUUUAGAAUCUUACGUGCUAGUUUAUUUUCAUAUUUUCAGUGUUCAGGAUUUUUCUUUAUGAGAAGCCAAUGUUAUGCAUCUCAUUUCAUUGUGUGUGACAUGGCAGGCUCAGUAACAUGCACUGAACUCACGCUGAAAAUGGAUUUUAACCUAAAAAGAGACUACAAAGCUUACUAGACAUGCCUUGGAAGGAAUUAUGUUGUAAGUCAUGUUCAUUCAUGCCAUUCUGUGUAGUUUCGUUUUCCAUAUCAUGUUCUCAGCAUAAAUAUCUGGCCAGUAGUAUUUCUGAGACAUAAGAUUGCUCAAUCAAGUACCCAUCUUAUGGAACAUCUGCAUCCAGUUCUGCUCAGAUAUUUGCUCUAACAAUUUCAUUUUUUUGAAACAUUAAAAAUUAUUAAAGGAAAACUAAAAGUGUUCAGUACCAUGCU